rnacentral:rRNA from 1 species
UACGUAGGGUGCAAGCGUUGUCCGGAAUUAUUGGGCGUAAAGAGCUCGUAGGCGGUUUGUUGCGUCGGCUGUGAAAUCCCGAGGCUCAACCUCGGGUCUGCAGUCGAUACGAGCAAACUAGAGUGUUGCAGGGGAGACUGGAAUUCCUGGUGUAGCGGUGAAAUGCGCAGAUAUCAGGAGGAACACCGAUGGCGAAGGCAGGUCUCUGGGCCGAUACUGACGCUGAGGAGCGAAAGCGUGGGGAGCAAACAGG